rnacentral:rRNA from 1 species
UACGGAGGGUGCGAGCGUUGUCCGGAAUUAUUGGGCGUAAAGAGCUCGUAGGCGGUCUGUCGCGUCGAAUGUGAAAACCCGGGGCUCAACUCCGGGCUUGCAUUCGAUACGGGCAGGCUAGAGUUCGGUAGGGGAGUCUGGAAUUCCUGGUGUAGCGGUGAAAUGCGCAGAUAUCAGGAGGAACACCGGUGGCGAAGGCGGGACUCUGGGCCGAUACUGACGCUGAGGAGCGAAAGCGUGGGGAGCGAACAGG